UAAGGAAUAUUGGUCAAUGGAGGCAACUCUGAACCAGCCAUGCCGCGUGAGGGAUGAAGGUCCUCUGGAUUGUAAACCUCUUUUAUCUGUGAAUAAAUCCCCGAUUUCUAUUGGGGUUGAAGGUAAUAGAUGAAUAAGCACCGGCUAACUCCGUGCCAGCAGCCGCGGUAAUACGGAGGGUGCAAGCGUUAUCCGGAUUCACUGGGUUUAAAGGGUGCGUAGGUUGAUUGGUAAGUCAGUGGUGAAAUACUCCGACUCAAUCGGAGAACUGCCGUUGAUACUAUCAAUCUUGAAUAUGGUGGAGGCGGGCGGAAUGCGUCAUGUAGUGGUGAAAUACUUAGAUAUGACGCAGAACACCCAUUGCGAAGGCAGCUCGCUACGCCAUUAUUGACACUGAGGCACGAAAGCGUGGGGAUCAAACAGGAUUAGAUACCCCGGUAGUCC
rnacentral:rRNA from 1 species